UACGUAGGGUGCAAGCGUUGUCCGGAAUUAUUGGGCGUAAAGAGCUCGUAGGCGGUCUGUCGCGUCUGCUGUGAAAACUCAGGGCUUAACCCUGAGCUUGCAGUGGGUACGGGCAGACUAGAGUGCGGUAGGGGAGACUGGAAUUCCUGGUGUAGCGGUGAAAUGCGCAGAUAUCAGGAGGAACACCCGUGGCGAAAUCGGCUCUCUGGGACGGUACUGACGCUGAGACGCGAAAGCGUGGGGAGCAAACAGG
rnacentral:rRNA from 1 species